rnacentral:rRNA from 1 species
UACGAAGGGGGCUAGCGUUGCUCGGAAUCACUGGGCGUAAAGCGCACGUAGGCGGCUUUCUAAGUCAGGGGUGAAAUCCUGGAGCUCAACUCCAGAACUGCGUCCGAUACUGGAAGGCUUGAAUCCGGGAGAGGGAUGCGGAAUUCCAGGUGUAGCGGUGAAAUGCGUAGAUAUCUGGAGGAACACCGGUGGCGAAGGCGGCAUCCUGGACCGAGAUUGACGCUGAUGCGCGAAAGCCAGGGGAGCAAAGCGGG